UGGUCAAACACGAUUUCUGGGCAUAUC
rnacentral:piRNA from 1 species